GUCAGGAUGGCCGAGCGGUCUAAGGCGCCAGACUCAAGGUUUCCUUGCCUGCAGUGCAGGUUGUAUGAGCGUUCUGGUCCACUUCUGUGGGCGUGGGUUCGAAUCCCACUUCUGACA
rnacentral:tRNA from 1 species